GAGGAUAUAACUCAGUGGUAGAGCAUGUGCUUAGCAUGCAUAAGGUCCUGGGUUCAAACUCCCAUACCUCCA
rnacentral:tRNA from 1 species